CACCGUACAGGGCCUAAGGUGAGCAUUCCCUGCCAUUCAAGAAAAGAGUGGAUCAGAAAAUUGCACCCUUGAAUUAUCUCCAUGAAGGUAAACCCAUUCCUCAAGAUUCAUUUUUCUGUUCUAAAGUUCAUGCAUAAAAAUCGCAGGGGCACAAAUCAAACUGUACGCUGUCCAAACCUGGAAGAAUACAUGGUAUCAAAUGGAAUGAGGGAAGCUCACCUGAGACUGAGAAUCCAUAGACGGGCAUAGCCUUCGUGGCUGACAGGGGCGGAGGAGGGAGGGCGAGGCACACGCUGUACGAGCUCGCAGGGCCAUACGUGACGGCGGCGGUGGUAGUUGCUUGAGGUCGCUCGAGCUCCCCAUCUUGAAAAGGGGAGGCGGCAUGCUGUGAGACGAGACAACGAGACGAAGAUUGGAUCGAAAAAUUUCUGGGAUACGGGUGGCGGCGCAUCGUGUGGAGCAUUGGGGCAGCGAUGCGGCGGUGGUAGAAGGAGGAUCAGGAUCUGGCCGGUGAACCUCCUCCUCCCCGAUGGAAUCUGGCCGGUGAAUAGCGCUCGUUGGCGGCGGAGAGGAUCUGCGCGGGGGGCAGGAGCAAGCCGUCAAGUGGGGUACUCACCAACAUGGCGGAGUCGCGAGAUCUCCUUGGCGCGUCUCAGCCAGACAUCGGCGGCGGAGGCUAUGGCGGCUGGGGCAUUCUUGACAAUCGAUGUAGGAAACAGAUCGAGGGGGCGGCGGCGGAGCAGUAGGGGCGGCGGCGGAGUGGGAGAGAGGUCGCAUCUGGAUCGAGAGGAGGGUGUG
rnacentral:lncRNA from 1 species